ensembl:processed_transcript 2210408F21Rik RIKEN cDNA 2210408F21 gene
GGUUUCCUCAGCAGUGCCCCGGAGCAGGGACCGCGCCAGCCAGCAGAAACAGCUAGUUGUUGUCUGCAGUGAAGAAUAAUUGGAAGCAUGGUGCCUGUUUCUUUUCCUGUGGAAGUCACAGCAUCUACUGAAUCUGUGCUUGCCUUGAGGAAAAACGGCAUGGCACAGGAAUGUGGACGCUUUCAACCAGAGGAUUCUGUACGACAGUGUCGGCACACAAACUUUCCAUUUCAUAUUUUAAGCCGAAGGAUUGCUGAAACCUAAGGCAAGAGGAUACAGUUGUAUACAUGCAGGCAUACACACUCUCCCAGUUAGGACUGCUCUCAUGGAAAGCCUUGCUCCCAGCUGCCACCCUCAUUGUGAUUCCCUGGGACUUCACUGAUGCAGCUCCUUCGCUGCUGGACAGCUCCGCAUCGCCUACA